rnacentral:rRNA from 1 species
UAGGGAAUCUUCCGCAAUGGACGCAAGUCUGACGGAGCAACGCCGCGUGAGUGAAGAAGGAUUUCGGUUCGUAAAACUCUGUUGUUAGAGAAGAACAGCGCAUAGAGUAACUUUUAUGCGUGUGACGGUAUCUAACCAGAAAGCCACGGCUAACUACGUGCCAGCAGCCGCGGUAAUACGUAGGUGGCAAGCGUUGUCCGGAUUUAUUGGGCGUAAAGCGAGCGCAGGCGGUUAGAUAAGUCUGAAGUUAAAGGCAGUGGCUCAACCAUUGUAGGCUUUGGAAACUGUUUAACUUGAGUGCAGAAGGGGAGAGUGGAAUUCCAUGUGUAGCGGUGAAAUGCGUAGAUAUAUGGAGGAACACCGGUGGCGAAAGCGGCUCUCUGGUCUGUAACUGACGCUGAGGCUCGAAAGCGUGGGGAGCGAACAGG